rnacentral:rRNA from 1 species
AGGGAAUAUUGCGCAAUGGGCGAAAGCCUGACGCAGCGACACCGUGUGUAGGAUGAAGAUCUUCGGAUCGUAAACUACUGUCAGUUGAAGACGAAGGCAGUAGAGUUAAGAGCUCGAAUGCUGACGGUACUCAAUUAGGAAGUCUCGGCUAACUCCGUGCCAGCAGCCGCGGUAAGACGGAGGAGGCAAGCAUUGUCCGGAAUUAUUGGGCGUAAAGAACACGUAGGCGGUUUAUCAAGUCAUAAGUGAAAACCUUGGGCUUAACUUAAGGAUUGCAUAUGAUACUGGUAAGCUUGAGUACAGUAGAGGAAAGCGGAAUUCCUGGUGUAGCGGUGAAAUGCGCAGAUAUCAGGAAGAACACCAGUGGCGAAAGCGGCUUUCUGGACUGUUACUGACGCUGAGGUGUGAAAGCUAGGGUAGCGAAC